rnacentral:rRNA from 1 species
UACCAGCUCUCCGAGUGGUGUGGAUGUUUAUUGGGCCUAAAGCAUCCGUAGCUGGCUGGGCAAGUCCCCUGUUAAAUCCACCGAUUUAAUCGUUGGUGUGCGGGGGAUACUGUUCGGCUAGGGGACGGGAGAGGCCGACGGUAUUUUCGGGGUAGGGGUGAAAUCCUAUAAUCCCGGGAAGACCACCAGUGGCGAAGGCUGUCGGCUAGAACGCGCCCGACGGUGAGGGAUGAAAGCUGGGGGAGCGAACCGGACUAGAUACCCGGGUAGUCCCAGCUGUAAACGAUGCAGGCUAGGUGUUUGGGCGGCCACGUGCCGCUCUAGUGCCGCAGAGAAGUCGUUAAGCCUGCCGCCUGGGGAGUACGGCCGCGAGGCUGAAACUUAAAGGAAUUGGCGGGGGAGCACCACAAGGGGUGAAGCUUGCGGUUU